rnacentral:rRNA from 1 species
UACGAAGGGUGCAAGCGUUACUCGGAAUUACUGGGCGUAAAGCGUGCGUAGGUGGUGAGUUAAGUCUGUCGUGAAAUCUCCGGGCUUAACCCGGAGCGGCCAAGUGAUACUGUCGUGCUAGAGUGCGGAAGGGGCUACUGGAAUUCUCGGUGUAGCGGUGAAAUGCGUAGAUAUCGAGAGGAACACCUGCGGCGAAGGCGGGUAGCUGGGCCGACACUGACGCUGAGGCGCGAAAGCCAGGGGAGCGAACGGG